CCACUAAGGUGAUGGAUCCCACAGACGGACACCUCCGAGCGGCAGAAUGGUCAGCGUGGAGCCGGCCCUAGCCCCUGGAUUUGGUGGUGGUCCAGGGAGGCCUACCCCCAACUCUGUGAGCCCUAUGGCGUCAGGGUGGACUGGACCCCCUGUGGACCGGUGUCUGGGGGGACAAACACCGGCGACAUGCAAGAGGCCAGAAAAAGG